CAUGAGUUCUUCUGUUUCUUCUGCGUGGGUUGACCAUGGGCAUCAGGCAUCAGAGAUACAACUCUGGAUCUUGUCCAUCCAUUGCUGGGCACUCUGUCCAUCCUGGGCGCAGAAGUUAUACACACGUUUGCUGGUCUUGAGCUACAAAACCAAAUGACAGUGAACCAGAGAUGAAGGGCAGGGCUGUUUUAUGGAUUUGGGCAUGGUAUGAGCAGGGCUAAGUGGAAAAAACUGUAUCUAUCUUUCAUGUUAAAGAAGUCCAGAAGACUGGGAAACAGAUCCAGAUGGAGGAAACAUCUGAUAAAGUUUGCCUAAGCAGCCAGCAGUCUAUCAAUCAUGACUCUUCCAACCCUCAUCCUGCAUCUAUAUCUAGAUUCAAAGAAGUCCAUGCAGGAGGCAGUCUACACUUUUCAAGAGAAAAUGGAAGGACUUCAGAGUUGAUUUGAUGAAGCUCAGUAAAAAACAUAAUUUUAUGUUUCUCUUUUAAGUUGUUGGCUGUUUGUUUAUUAUGAAGCCAUUUAAAGAGUUUUCUUGUUUAGCAGUGUAUAUAUACUGCAGAUCAUGGUUACUGAGACUCUAGAUGACAGAAGCGUGUAGUCUGUGUCCUUGGGUGACUUAAAAAUAAAAGCAGAACUUUUAUACCUUUUUCAAAUAGUCAAUCUAUUACUAACAUGAGCCCACUUUGUUUUUAAUAGGGAGGAAAAUGUGUUGGGGUGAGGCAAAAAGUAGUUCUUUAAAAGGCCAUGAAGGGUGUCUCAGCAGUGGUGUCUUGCUUGGAAUGAAGUGACAUAGUCAAAAUCAACAUGCAUUUUACCAGUUUAUCAAAAAAAAAAAAAAAAAAAGACUCAAGCCCAAGAUGGCAUGAAAUUCUAUAAUAUGUGGGGCCCCUAAGACUAAUUAACAGUUUCUUCUCUACCUUUUAACUGCAGGGUCCAGUGCAGUAGUUCUCAACCUUGGACAUGGAUUUAAAAAACCAAGGGCUUUAAAAAAAUCCCAGUGUCCAGGUCUCACCUCAGACCAAUUAAAUCAGAAUCUCUGGGGAUGGCCCGAGAUAUUAGUUAUUUUAAAAGUUCAAGUAACUCCAAUGUCCAAAGUUGCAAAUGCUCUAGGGGUUGCAGUAAGAUUUUGAAAGCCACCUUGUAUAUUGCUCCAUUUGGCGCCUUGAGGCAUGGAUUAGACUGAAAGGCUGUGUGGUAGUCAGCCCAAGUUGAAAUAGGCUCUAGGCACCUUUGUAGACAGAAAGAGAAUGAGCUGAAACCAGAAGAGGAGAUGCAAUACAUGGCCCUCUGUUCCUUAGGGCUGUUGUAACAUCUUGUAAUUGGAACCAAGUCCAAUGGACUUUUCUUACAGUAUCCAUAUGGCUGGCUUAGGGCAACAUGUACACAUAUAAGGAACAUCUUAAAAACAGUCCAAAUCAGACAGCUAGUGCCAAAUCCUAUCAAAUUAUAACCCUAUAAUCCAGUAUGUAAUAAUCAACAUAUUAAGCUUUUAGGACACAGGAGAAUUCAUUGUGUUUAAGUUU
rnacentral:lncRNA from 1 species